rnacentral:tRNA from 1 species
GCGGCCGUAGUCUAGCAUGGUCUAGGACGUCGGCCUUCCACGCCGAGGACCCGGGUUCAAAUCCCGGCGGCCGCACCA